UACGGGGGGGGGCAAGCUUGUUCGGAAUUACUGGGCGUAAAGGGUUCGUAGGUGCCAACUCAGUCAGACGUGAAAUCCCUCAGCUUAACUGGGGAACUGCGUCCGAUACUGGAUGGCUUGGAUUUGGGAGAGGGAUGCGGAAUUCCCAGGUGUAGCGGUGAAAUGCGUAGAUAUCUGGAGGAACACCGGUGGCGAAGGCGGCAUCCUGGACCAAUAUUGACGCUGAGGAGCGAAAGCCAGGGGAGCAAAGCGGG
rnacentral:rRNA from 1 species